UACGAAGGGGGCUAGCGUUGUUCGGAAUCACUGGGCGUAAAGGGCGCGUAGGCGGCCAUAUAAGUCGGGGGUGAAAGCCUGUGGCUCAACCACAGAAUUGCCUUCGAUACUGUAUGGCUCGAGACCGGAAGAGGUAAGUGGAACUGCGAGUGAGAGGUGAAAUUCGUAGAUAUUCGCAAGAACACCAGUCGGCGAAGGCGGCUCACUGGCCCGGUACUGACGCUGACGGUGCGGAAAGCGUGGGGAGCAAACGG
rnacentral:rRNA from 1 species